CCAGCUGCUGCAAAUUGGUGCACAGUAAUUUCCUCAUCUAGUUCAGCUCACAGUGACAUCUGCAAACUUGUGUCCCACAGAAAUCUGCAGACAACAGAACUACAUAGAGAACUGGGGACUAAAGUGCCACUGAAAAAUCUCUUCAGAGCUCCAAGGUGUUGCCUGUUUGGUUUAAGCUGAAUUCAAAGGCAGUUUUCUGGAGAAUUGAAGGGGUGACAGAAACUGAUCCCACUUGAUCUGGAGUCCCCAUAGUCCAGGAACUACAGGAAGACGAUAAGG